GGUGAACGCUGGCGGCGUGCUUAAGACAUGCAAGUCGAACGCGGGCAGCUCGCUGCCCGAGUGGCGCACGGGUGAGGAACACGUAACUGACCUGCCCCAAAGUCGCGGAUAACUGGCCGAAAGGUCAGCUAAUACGUGAUGUGCUGUCCCCUCGUGUGGGGCCAGUAAAGGCUUUGACCGCUUUGGGAUGGGGUUGCGUUCCAUCAGCUAGUUGGUGGGGUAAAGGCCAACCAAGGCAACGACGGAUAACCGGCCUGAGAGGGUGGCCGGUCACAGGGGCACUGAGACACGGGUCCCACUCCAACGGGAGGCAGCAGUUAGGAAUCUUCCACAAUGGGCGCAAGCCUGAUGGAGCGACGCCGCGUGAGGGAGGAAGGUUUGCGGAUCGUAAACCUCUGAAUCAGAGACGAAAGGCCCCGACAAGGGGAGAUGACGGUAUCUGAGUAAUAGCACCGGCUAACUCCGUG
rnacentral:rRNA from 1 species